rnacentral:rRNA from 1 species
UUAAAAUUGUUGCAGUUAAAACGCUCGUAGUUGAAUUUCAAAGAAUCAAUAUUUUAACUAAUGCUUUUGGUUUAAGGUGCUUAGAACAAUACAACGUAUCUGCUCUUUGCAUUCCUUAUCCAAAAUGCGUUCUUAUUAAUAAAAAGGAUUCUUUUUAAAAUCUCCUUUACUUUUUCUUGUACAGGAGAUUUUGUUACUUUGAGUAAAUUAGAGUGUUCAAAGCAAACAGUUAAAGCAUUUUACUGCGUUUGAAUACUACAGCAUGGAAUAACAAAAUUGAACAAGUCAAAACUCUGUUCCUUUUUCUUAUUUUGGCUUAGUUACGAUUAAUAGGAGUAGCUUGGGGGCAUUUGUAUUCAGAUGUCAGAGGUGAAAUUCUUAGAUUUUCUGGAGACAAACAACUGCGAAAGCAUUUGCCUAAAAUACUUCCAUUAAUCAAGAACGAAAGUUAAGGGAGUGAAGACGAUCAGAUACCGUCGUAAUCUUAACCAUAAACUAUGCCGACUAGGUUUUGGAUGAAAGAUUUUUAAAUAAGAAAAUUCCUUUUGGAAAUUUCUUAGAUUGCUUCCUUCAGUACCUUAUGAGAAAUCAAAGUCUUUGGGUUCUGGGGCGAGUAUUCGCGCAAGCGAGAAAGUUAAAAGAAUUGACGGAAGGGCACCACCAGGCGUGGAGCUUGCGGCUUAAUUUGACUCAACACGGGGAAACUCACUAGUUUAAGACAAGAGUAGGAUUGACAGAUUAAUAGCUCUUUCUUGAUUUCUUGGAUGGUGAUGCAUGGCCGUUUUUAGUUCGUGAAUAUGAUUUGUCUGGUUAAUUCCGAUAACGAACGAGAUCUUAACCUGCUAAUUAGCGGUGAAUACGUUAUAUUCCUACUUGAAAUUGAAUAUAGCUGAAUUUGCUUAUUUUGAAGAAUAUAUUAGGAUGCAUUAUAGUGUCCUUUUCCCUUUUCUACUUAAUUUGCUAUUCAUGCUGUUUCUUUUUUGUGUAGGAAUGUAUUCGUUUGAUUGUAAAGCUUCUUAGAGGAACGAUGUGUGUCUAACACAAGGAAGUUUAAGGCAACAACAGG